CAGCCUUUGAAUUGUAAGUCGCUCUGGAUAAGAGCGUCUGCUAAAUGACUUAAA
rfam:Salmo salar isolate Sally breed double haploid chromosome ssa17, whole genome shotgun sequence.